rnacentral:lncRNA from 1 species
CACUGCCCUACCCUGGAUCAGUCGCAGACACUGCCCCAAGUCCUCAUCUCCCACUGCUCCCGGGGCUGCCACCACAUUCCUGACAAGGAGCCCCUUUGGACUCUGUGUCCCAGGUUUUGGGGGCUGCAGGGAGCAGGGCAAGGACAGCCUGAAACCAGGGCAGAUCCCUCCCAUUUGGGACACUCUGGGGACAAAUGGGGACUCACCCCACACCACAGGCAGGACUGGGCCCCCCAGUACUGGCCAGCUGUUCUGGAGCCUGUUGGGUUUGGCUGCUCAAACACCAAAGUUCUUGGCAAAGAUGGGAUGAGUUAAGUCUUUUUCCUGUCCUGAAAGAGAAGAGAAAAUGGAAAUUAAGUCCACUGUGAAAAGCAAAGGCUCCUGGCUUUCCCACUUCUCUUCUGUUUGCUCACUAUAGGGUUUAAUUCAUAAAAAAUGAGAGGUGGCACCAAAUAAAAGUGCCCUUUUCCAAUAUUUUUUCCCUACAUUUUUCAUACACAAAAAGGAUUCCCAUUUUUUCUUAUUGCAUUCUUAGCCUAAUUUUAACAGAACCAUUUUAAUUCCAGGCCCUGUUUGUGAGUUAUUCCAUGCUUUGCCAUUGGACUUGGGACAAAGGAGUGGGAGGAUCUGUUCCACAUGGGUGUCAUCCAAUGCUCAGCUCAGCUCCAGUGCUUUCCUUGGGAAAGGAUGUACUGGAAUAAAACCAAUGAUCCUGUCUCACAUGGUACCUGCCCUGGGAGGCCACCACUGUUCUGUUCCUGGCAGAAGGGACCUGCUGGCAGCUGUGGUUCAAGACUUGGCUGUGUGGCAGCAACAUGGAAGGGCUGCACUUGGAGCCUUCUGUCCUUUCCUGUUCUGGGAGCAGGAGCAUUGGUGUGUGCAGGACACUGAUAGUUGUAAUAUUACCUGCAGUUUCCUGGAGCCAUGAAACAGCCAAUACCUGCAGGGUGUUAUUCCCUGACAGCACAUUUGGAGAGAAACAGAUUGCAGGAUACUCUUGUCCAAGCAAGAAGUUUCUUUCCUUCUCCCAGAGAGCUUUGAGGUUUUUCUUGAAGUCAUUCUGCUAAUCUUGGCUGCAGGUAAGGCCACAAAAAUGUAAUGUACUCUCAAGAUGCAUUUUGUCCCCUUUUAUAUAGACCUGUUUAAAAUGAAACAUUGGGAAGGUUCUGGGGGUCUGUUUUCCAAACAAAAGCUUUCCUUCAAAAUAAAUGCACAAACAAACAAACA